GACGAACGCUGGCGGCGUGCCUAACACAUGCAAGUCGAACGGAAAGGCCCUGCUUUUGUGGGGUGCUCGAGUGGCGAAGGGGUGAGUAACACGUGAGUAACCUGCCCUUGACUUUGGGAUAACAUCAGGAAACUGGGGCUAAUACCGGAUAGGAGCUCCUGAUGCAUGGUGGGGGUUGGAAAGUUUCGGCGGUUGGGGAUGGAAUCGCGGCUUAUCAGCUUGAUGGUGGGGUAGUGGAUUACCAAGGCUUUGACGGGUAGGCGGCCUGAGAGGGUGGCCGGCCACCAUACGCCUGCGAUAGGCACCAGACUCCUACGGUAGGCAACGGUCGGGAAUAUUGCACAGUGGGCGGGAGCCUGAUACGACGGCGCCGCGUUCGGAAUGACGUCCUUCUGGUUGUAAACCGCUUUCGCCUGUGACGAAGCGUUAGUGACGGUAAUGGGUAAAGAAGCACCGGCUAACUACGUG
rnacentral:rRNA from 1 species